UUUUCCUAUUGAAAUCUCAGGGCUUUAUAGAAUUCUUUUCAAUUUUCGAUUUUUUUUUUUGAAUUUCAUAUAUAUAGAAUUUGAAUUCGGGCAUGACCAGUGAAUUGGAAUUUCUUUUUCCAAGAUUAGGUUAUUUUCUAAUCCCUUCUGUGAAUUGUGUGGGUGAAACUUGAACUUUGUUAAUGAGGUUAGGAAGCCUGUUAUAUGCCUUGCUUCUAAAGAUAGGGAUUGCAGAAAAGGAUGGAACUGUGCGACUUGGGCAAGCAUGAAAAUCAUGGCUGGUUUUGUGUUGUUUUUUAUUGGCUGUUACCUUGUUCUUGUUUCUGUUCUUUUGGGUGGCAGGCUAGGAGGGCGUCGAAGUAGAGGUGGGGGAGAUAAAACAGUAUCCCUUUUGGGCCUCUGUGGCUGGGUAUUUGAAUUGGCUGAAGGUGGAUAGCAUUGUUGUAUAAAGAUGUUUCUUUGUGUUCUGCUCCCUAGUGUUGGUCUACAGACCAUCGGGGUUUUGUCAGAAGGUGAGCUGUUUUGAUGCUGAUAAUGUUGAAAGACGAUGUAUGUUGAUAUAGCGGUGAUAGAGGAGCUACUUCUUUUUUGUACUUGGGAUUUCCAUCACUAACAAAGUUAGGUUAUCAUAACUUGUAUCCAGAAAGAAGCUAGCUAAAUUUACGAUGAAGGGUGCAGAGUUGGUUAAAUUGGUGUUAAUGAAUGCCAUUACAAUGAGAAAGAAAUGAUGACAGAUUAAGUAUAUAACAGAUGUAGAAAUCGCUAUAAUACAUGCUUGGGCCCACACUAAAGUUGCUGGUUAAGUCCAUGAAGGGUGGUUGAAAAUCAUCAUCGAUUCAUGAUUGUUGAACAGGAUAUGAAGAUUAGUUGUUUUUCAAAUUCAAACAGCACAAACCACUUUCAAUGACAACAUGCCAUAUGCACGGUCAUUAAAAUUUAACCAUUUAAGGUUCUUGGGACAAGCAAAGGAGUUUUGGUUGUCAAGUAGUGGGAAAUACUGUGAGCUGGUUCUGGGUAAAAAGGAAAUGUUCUAAAAUUCUGACCCUUUUUAGACCUGUGCAUACAUCCACCUUAAGUGAAUGAAGCAUUCUCUUUUUAAACUAUGGGCCUAGUCCAACUCCAACUUAUGCAAUAUCCUCUUGAACAUUGGAUUUCAGUGUAUCACCCCAUUCUUCAAAAAAUAAUUAGCCACUAGUGCAUCCUUGAGAAUACUAAAGUGGCAUCCUUUAGCGAACUGAAUCAGUAUCACUUAGCAGGUUGGUUCUAAUGAUGAUUUUUUGGAGGGUUUCCAGGUGGGCUUGAGCAUUUGGAUGAGAUCAUGCACACCUUUUGUAUUUGGAUGAAGCUGAUCAGUUGAGAUGCCUAAGGUGUGCUUUGUUGUUCUUUGAAGUGGUUUCAGGUUUGAAGAUGAUGGAGAAGUGAGAUACCAUCAUGGUGGUGCCACUUGAAACCAUUUCAGGUUUUGGCAAGCACGUUUGGAUGCAAGAGAGGAAGCUUCCAUCUAUUUAUAUAGGCUUAUAUCUGGUCUUUUGCUUUAAUUUUAGCAGCAAGCAAUCAUAAAAAUGUUAAAAAAUAACAUUUGUGCAUAAAGGUUGUACUGAUGAGACCUUUAAAUUUUAAAUAGUGCAUUAAAUGCACUGUAAUCCUUCUUCUUCUUUACCUUCUGCAGUCAGAUUCUUAUUGUAAUGUUUCUUAGUAUUCAAUAAGCAUCUCUAAGAA